ACUCUCUGACCGGCCGUGACCGAAUACAAAUGGGCUGAUCAGUGUGUGAACGAGCGUGCUUGAGUUAUGACGGACACGGUACAAUAGGUGCCAGUGUGAAAGAGGUCCUUAUGGCCUCCAAGUGCGUGUCCUCGAGGUUAUGUCCGCGACUGGGAAGAUCGGCCACGAGUUGUCGCGGCCUGCGGCGGCAGGGUUGACCACAGCGGCACGCGCCUGCAGUGACCGUCGGAGGCACCUCACGCACGGGGAGUAGGAGCGUGCUGGGACGCAGCCGCACGCCGCAGCGAACGGUACAAAAGGGAGUCUUGGACGCUGGUAGUCAUCCUUUGUUUGGCUUCUGUAGCUUUCUCCCGGCCUCAGGAUGAAAAAGACGCGACCAUCGUCGACUACUUCAACGAACUCAGGGAGAACCAGAACUACGACUUCUCACUUGAGACCUCUAACGGGAUAAUUCGGGAGGAGUCUGGAGUUUCCUACCCUGGCGCCGACCCCGAGACGGGCAGCUACACCCAGUCGGGCAGCUACGAGUUCACCCACCCUGACGGCACCGUCACCUACCUGUCGUUCAUCGCGGAUGAGGACGGCUACAGGGCCGAAAGUGACGCCAUUCCAGUGUUCAAUGGGCGUGUGGAUAUCCAAGAUGUCUAGAGUUGUGUUUUAAAAGAUGAUCCAUUCAUGUUCCACAUUGUUUAAUUAUUAUAUGUUCGAUGGAAGCGAGUGUUUGCGGUAUGCUAAACUGCAAUGCGUUGGGAGUCGCUAAAAUCGAAUUUGUAACUCUCUAUGACACCGAAAAUACACAAACACAGCUGGUGUAAUGUGUGGAAGUUAUAUGCCUUCGAAACAUACAUAAUAAACCGCUAUCUACUGAUGUUUGUAUAAUGCAUUGAAUAAAUAUAUCACGAAAUGGG